rnacentral:rRNA from 1 species
UAUAAUGGGCCCGAAACCGGGUGACCUACCCAUGGUCAGGUUGAAGUGGAAGUAAAAUUCCAUGGAGGACCGAACCGACCUCCGUUGAAAAGGCGGCGGAUGAACUGUGGGUAGCGGAGAAAUUCCAAUCGAACCCGGAGAUAGCUGGUUCUCCCCGAAAUAGUUUUAGGACUAGCCUCAAGUUAGAUACCUGGAGGUAAAGCACUGAAUAGCCUAGCGGCCGAGAGGUUAGCGAAGCUUAUCAAACUCAGAAUGCCAGAGUAUUGAUGCUUGGGAGUCAGACAGUGUCAGAUAAAUGUCAUUGUCAAAAGGGAAACAGCCCAGAUCUACAGCUAAGGUCCCAAAGUCAGGUUAAGUGGAAAACGAUGUGAAGAUACGCAGACAACCAGGAUGUUGGCUCAGAAGCAGCCACUCAUUCAAAGAGUGCGUAAUAGCUCACUGGUCGAGCGUCUUUGCGCGGAGAAUUUAACGGGGCUAAACCUGACACCGAAGCUUAGGCAAUCCAGUAAUGGAUUGGGUAGGGGAGCGUUGUAUACGCGGAGAAACAGUAGCGUGAGCGGCUGUGGAGUGUAUAGAAGUGAGAAUGCCGGAAUGAGUAGCGCGAAUGCAGUGAGAAUCUGCAUGGCCGAAAGCCUCAGGUUUUUGGAGGAAGGUUCGUCCGCUCCAAGUUAGUCGGGAGCUAAGGUGAGGCCGGAAGGCGUAGCCGAUGCACAGACGGUAGAGAUUCCGUCACCACCAAAAGAGUUAAGCACAGGGACACAUUUGAAGUCUCAGAGCCGGGUGUUGGUUCCGGUAGAGAUCGAGGGAAGUUAGUACCGAAGUCUGGGAUGGAAGAUGGCGAGAAAAGCUGUGUGUAUUUCUGAGGUGCCCGUACCGCAAACCGACACAGGUAGGUAGGAAGAAGAUUCUAAGGCCAACGGGAGAAGGGUUGUUAAGGAACUCGGCAAAUUGACCCCGUAACUUCGGGAGAAGGGGUGCUCCAGAGAUGGAGCCGCAGAGAAUCGGCCCAAGCAACUGUUUACCAAAAACACAGGUUUGUGCUAAAUCGAAAGAUGACGUAUACGAGCUGACGCCUGCCCGGUGCUGGAAGGUUAAGAGGAGAUGUGCAAGCAUUGAAUCGAAGCCCCAGUGAACGGCGGCCGUAACUAUAACGGUCCUAAGGUAGCGAAAUUCCUUGUCAGGUAAGUUCUGACCCGCAUGAAAGGCGUAAUGAUUUGGGCACUGUCUCAACAGCCCGCCCGGCGAAAUUGUAGUACCGGUGAAGAUGCCGGUUACCCGCGACAAGACGGAAAGACCCCAUGGAGCUUUACUGUAGCCUAAUAUUGGGUUUCGAUGUUGCAUGCACAGGAUAGAUGGGACACAGGGAAACAAUCGCUUUGGCGGUUGCGGAGUGGCCGUUGGGAUACCAUCCUUGCGAUAUUGGAAUUCUAACCUGCGGCU